rnacentral:rRNA from 1 species
GACGAACGCUGGCGGCGUGCUUAACACAUGCAAGUCGAACGGAAAGGCCCUGCUUUUGUGGGGUGCUCGAGUGGCGAACGGGUGAGUAACACGUGAGUAACCUGCCCUUGACUUUGGGAUAACUUCAGGAAACUGGGGCUAAUACCGGAUAGGAGCUCCUGCUGCAUGGUGGGGGUUGGAAAGUUUCGGCGGUUGGGGAUGGACUCGCGGCUUAUCAGCUUGUUGGUGGGGUAGUGGCUUACCAAGGCUUUGACGGGUAGCCGGCCUGAGAGGGUGACCAGCGACAUUGGGACUGAGAGACGGCCCAGACUCCAACGGGAGGCAGCAGUGGGGAGUAUUGCACAAUGGGCGGGAGUCUGAUGCAGCGACGCCGCGUGCGGGAAGACGGCCUUCGGGUUGUAAACCGCUUUCGGCUGAGACGAAGCGUGAGUGACGGUAAUGGGUAAAGAAGCACCGGCUAACUACGUG